rnacentral:rRNA from 1 species
GGGGAAUAUUGGGCAAUGGACGCAAGUCUGACCCAGCAACGCCGCGUGCGGGAUGAAGGCCUUCGGGUUGUAAACCGCUUUCAGCAGGGACGAAGGUUUUCUGACGGUACCUGCAGAAGAAGCACCGGCUAACUACGUGCCAGCAGCCGCGGUGAUACGUAGGGUGCGAGCGUUGUCCGGAAUUAUUGGGCGUAAAGAGCUUGUAGGCGGUCUGUUGCGUCGGAAGUGAAAACUCAGGGCUUAACCCUGAGCCUGCUUUCGAUACGGGCAGACUUGAGGGAUGUAGGGGAGAACGGAAUUCCUGGUGGAGCGGUGGAAUGCGCAGAUAUCAGGAGGAACACCAGUGGCGAAGGCGGUUCUCUGGACAUUUCCUGACGCUGAGAAGCGAAAGCGUGGGGAGCAAACA